rnacentral:rRNA from 1 species
UACGUAGGGUGCGAGCGUUAAUCGGAAUUACUGGGCGUAAAGCGUGCGCAGGCGGUUCGUUAAGUUCGUCGUGAAAGCCCCGGGCUCAACCUGGGAAUGGCGAUGGAAACUGGCGGGCUGGAGUGCGGCAGAGGGGGGUGGAAUUCCACGUGUAGCAGUGAAAUGCGUAGAGAUGUGGAGGAACACCGAUGGCGAAGGCAGCCCCCUGGGCCGACACUGACGCUCAGGCACGAAAGCGUGGGGAGCAAUCAGGAUUAGAUACCCUGGUAGUCCACGCCCUAAACGAUGGCAACUGGGUGUCGGGGAAGCGAUUCCUUGGUACCGUAGCUAACGCGUGAAGUUGCCCGCCUGGGGAGUACGGCCGCAAGGUUAAA